rnacentral:lncRNA from 1 species
UUUUAGCUACGUACAUUUUCCGACGAGCACAGUCGAGUAAUUUUUUGCCGAAAAAUGUUUGAGGACCAGUUGGAGAAUGGUGUUGGUUAUGGUUGUUCUUUGAUGAUGGUGAAGGAGUGUUGUUGAGAUUGUUUGGUUUUUAGUUCUUAUUAUCAAGUGUGUUUGAUGUUGUGAAGGUGAUGAGUUAAAGAAGUUUUUGAUGGAGUUUAGUUGUUUGUUGGUUGAUGUAUUAUGAGGGUGAGUUGAGAGGUGAACUG